GUUAAGUAUCCUCAACACUUACUUUGACACAAUGUCAUAAUUUAUCUAUGGGUGUCAUGCCUAUAAUUUGGUUUUGAAACGUAUUAUUUACAUGCCAUAAUGGUAGAAAAAAAUAUUUUUAGUGGCUGGCAACUCUAACUUUGACAUUAGUGAGCCAAAAUGGCGACUAGAAGAUUUGCUCUGCGGACUGCUCAGCAACGACUAAUUCGGAAAUAAACACUACAGAAUUCAAGAUCAAGACGAAUUUUAGCGCUGAUUCCCGAAGAAAACGCUCCUUCUGAUGUUAGUGGGGAAUCAAACUCCGAGAAUGAAGACGAAUUGGCUAAUGUUCAAUUUGGGGACCCAGAGUCUUCCGAACCACCUUCACUUGACUCUUCCUUGGAACGGCUUAAUAUUCUGAAUUCUGAUUCUGAUGCUGAUCAACACCGAAGCUGUACCCCGUCUCCUUCAAUUCUGGCUAAUAAUGGUAAUGUAGACGACAUCAAUACUGAACCUACCUUUGAUUUCACCCUACCAUCCAUAAGUUCAUGCCCUCCUUUGACACCGAUGUCAAACAUACCUUCAAUAACAACUUCAUAUAUACUCGACCAUGUGUCAGACUCCCCCCUGCAAUCUCCACUUGUCGCUUCAUUGUGGCGUGGAUUUAGCGGACAUGCUAAUUGCCCUGUACCGAACAGAAAUAAAGAGCAAGCGCUGGUACUUGUCCAUAUUUUCCCAGUUACUCGAUAUCUGUGUAAAUAAUGCCUGGUUGUGUUACCGCCGUGAUCAAAGCCGAAAAGGUAAUAAAAAAUACAAACCUCUAAAGCACUUCAGACUUGAAAUUUACAAGGCAUUGCUGUAUAAAGGAAAUAAUGUAGAAGUAUCCAGUGUUCCAGACUUAAAGGAAGAAGAAAAGAUUAAAAAUCCUAAACGCACCAGGCCCAUAGAUGACGUAAAAUUUGAUUCUAUAGAUCAUUUCCCUGAACAUGGACAGGAAUAUGGUCGAUGUGCUUUUUGCAAAAAGGGGUUUACAACUGUUUACUGCCUGAAAUGUAAUGUCCGGCUGUGUUUUGUCAAAGGAAGAAAUUGUCAUUUCAAUUACCACCAUAAUAGGGUUUAAGUGAUGUAAACUUUUUCAUAUUUUAAUAAUAAAUUGUGAUAAAUUCUAUAUAACUUGUAUUAUUUUCCUUUAUUGAGGUGUAAUAUUUGUUAAGCAUACUUAACGUUCAAAUGUUGCCUUCUUUUUAUGAACAUUGUUUUUUGUUGAGUAUACUUAACGUACUGUUUUCAGGAAUUCCUUCAAUGAACUUUUUUUUAAAUAUUUUUUACAUUUUAUUUUAUCACCUAGGAACACUAUAU